UUGGUUCACGUUGGUCAUGUGACCUGUGUGUAGUCCACAUGAUGUUGCCCACACGUGUAUAUGGUGUUUUACAUAUGUAGCUACUUUCCCCCUCGCUCAUUUUUGUUUAUUGGUUGCCAUGGUUGCAGUUCCGGUCAUCGUUGAGGGAGCCGGUACAAAAACGUUAGUCCGCUCUUCUUCUGCUCCCGUUGUCGCCCCGUGUCACUUCCGGUGUAGAGGUCACAUCCCCGACAGUUGCUGUAGGCUGGUGGUCUAGUGGUGGCAUCCUCCUGUCUUGUCUUGUCCCGUCAGUGUCUGCCACGUGUGCCCGGUGAUUUUUGUGGUGUUUUUCUUUGGUGGAUCCCUCCCCUGCCCUGCCCUGCCCUAGCCUUCGUCCAUUCACUUUGGCCUCAGCCCUGAUUAGGUUUUUUUCCCCCUCCUUUUUUGUUGUUGGUAUGAAUGAGUUUUAUUGGAGUUUUAGAAUGAAUGUUUAAUAAAAAUGAAAUGUUAACUUGGAA